GUUAAAGCAGGAGCUGGAGAGCCACAGAGACACCACCCUCAUGUCCUGCUCCUAGUGUGGAAACAGAAAGGGAGGCUGGGACAGAUUUGGGACAGGACAGGGAGCAGGUCCUCAUCCAGGACAAGAUAGUGCAGCUGCCCUGCAGACAGCAAAGCUCUACCAGGCCAAGGCUUCUUCUUAGGAGGAAGGUGCUCAUGUCCUCACAACAGUCCUGCCUUUCAAACUGGUGUUUUAACACUUCUUUUCCUAUAUAUGAACUAGUAACCAUAUUAACCUACAGGACCUGAGUAAUUUGAUGUCAAAGCAGCAGCACAGGCUGCAGAAAACUCUGCCCAUGCCCUGCUGCAGUCAGUCCUCCAAGCCUGCAUGGUGCCUGCAAGCCUGGCCAGCAGUGCUUGAUGAACCUGCCCUCUUCCUUUGCCCUUGACAAUGUGCCAGAGAACAGAAGAGCUGCUAAGGAAACAAAUGUUGCCUGUGAAUGACAUGGGUUUCUUGGCAUCCGUCUGACAAUUGUGGCACUCAUGGCCAGAACUCACCAGAAUCAGGAAUUCCUCCUUCCUCCAUGUCACUCUGCUGUUUCCCAAAGAAAAAGAAUACAGAUGUCUGAACAAGGAAAUCCAAGCUAGAGACCUGUACAGGCUGUUAUGAUGUGGGAACUGGGGGAAAAGGGCUCUGUAAGUACUGGUACCAUGGGCUGCAGCAUUCCCUGCUAGCAGCAGUAGGCUCCAACAGGCUGCACUCACCACCAGCCCACCUACCCUGCAGGUUCAGUUCUUUGGAUGCCCUUCCCAUUUCCCAAAAUUGUUAUUGAAUGUGGGAAAAUUUGGAAAGGGUUAAAUCAUGUGGUCUGAAGCAACUGGCAAGAAGGAGAAGAUUUGAGAGUGAACAUGUGAAACCAGGGAGAAGGGGAACAAGCAGCUGCACUGAUGGGAUGAACUCAGCCUCUCCAGGUGUCCCAGGAACACAAACAUGUGCCAGCCAAUGGACAGGCAGUGAAUGUGGAACUCAGAAAUGAGGGAGCAACAGCACAGGCAUAGCUGCUCUCUGGCUUCUUGCUGGGGCUCCAUUGCAUGCCCUUAGUGCAGUUGCGUGUCCCCAUGUUGGUGCAGAAUGGAUGAAGUCCUGGUUAUCCCACAGCUCUGAGAAUCAUGGAUUGCUCCAUCAGACAAAAGAUUUUCCUCCUGCUGGGUCCUUCCUCAAAGAUGGGGCUCUCUUUACCAUCCACUGCUCUUCUGUGUCAGCAAAAACAUGGUCUUCACAUUAAGCAACGCUCUCUUGCUGUAUGUAGAUCAUCUAGAGCAGUCUCCUGUAGAUACCAAGUGAGCAGCAACAAUGAAGAAGAGGUGAAGAGCUGCCAGUGUCCUGAGAAGAUAGAAAAGGAGAAUCCAUUAAGUAAUACCCUGAAACUUCUUUUCUGUGGGCUGAUAAAACACACAUUCACUUACACAAUGCAGACACUGUCAGAGAAGCAGGAAGUCAUGUCCCUGGUGUUGAGCCUGUGCUGUAACUGCAGGGAGCCCAACACCUUGGACGGGGCUCAGGCAGAGAAUCUGUGUCACACCAAAGGAGGGGAAUGGAAACAGCGGGAAACCAUCGGCAACAAAGGAAGGAGAACAAAAACAGGACAGAAGGGAUCAGACAUAGAGCCAAGAACAAGGUAAAAGAACAGACCUGUGGAAAGCUGGAAGGAAAACAAAUAAACCAAGUAUGCAUGCACUUGGUUCCUGGAGAAUGGCUUUAUGGAAAGACAUCUCAGGAUUCAUGAACUCAUUCUUCCAUAUCUGGAUGGAUUUUCACACCAAAAACCAAUACAAAUUCACUGGGGCUUCUUCCUAUAACUCAGAAGUCACGACUGACAGAUACACUAGUUGCAGGUACCUUGGU